CACGUAGUUAGCCGUGGCUUAUUCAAGGGGUACCGUCUUCUACUCUUCCCCCUUAAAAGAAGUUUACAACUCGAAAGCCUUCUUCCUUCACGCGGCGUUGCUGGGUCAGACUUGCGUCCAUUGCCCAAUAUUCCCCACUGCUGCCUCCCGUAGGAGUCUGGGCCGUAUCUCAGUCCCAAUGUGGCCGGCCAACCUCUCAGUCCGGCUACUGAUCGUCGCCUUGGUGGGCCGUUACCUCACCAACUAGCUAAUCAGACGCGAGGCCAUCUUCCAGCGAUAAAUCUUUGACAUCAAAGCCAUGCGACUUCAAUGCAUCAUGCGGUAUUAGCAGUCGUUUCCAACUGUUGUCCCCCUCUGGAAGGCAGGUUCCUCACGCGUUACUCACCAGUCCGCCACUAAGCAUUCCCAUCCGUUGUCCCGAAAACUCCUUCAGGGGUGCCUCCGUUCGACUUGCUAUGUGUUAAGCACGCCGCCACGCGUUCGUCCUCGAGUCCAGGACGUACUAAACGUCUACUUCGAACG
rnacentral:rRNA from 1 species